rnacentral:rRNA from 1 species
GACGAACGCUGGCGGCGUGCUUUACGCAUGCAAGUCGAACGGUGAAGGUGGAGCUUGCUCCGCCGGAUCAGUGGCGAACGGGUGAGUAACACGUGGGCAACCUGCCCCUAACUUUGGGAUAACUACUCGAAAGAGUAGCUAAUACCGGAUACGAAGUCUGUAGGCAUCUACGGAUUUGGAAAGUUUUUCGGUUAGGGAUGGGCCCGCGGCCUAUCAGCUUGUUGGUGAGGUAGUGGCUCACCAAGGCGACGACGGGUAGCCGGCCUGAGAGGGCGACCGGCCACACUGGGACUGAGACACGGCCCAGACUCCUACGGGAGGCAGCAGUGGGGAAUAUUGCGCAAUGGGCGAAAGCCUGACGCAGCAACGCCGCGUGCGGGAUGAAGGCCUUCGGGUUGUAAACCGCUUUCAGCGGGGAAGAAGCGAAAGUGACGGUACCUGCAGAAGAAGCACCGGCUAACUACGUGCCAGCAGCCGCCGCGG